UCUUGGACACGCUGCGCCUUGGUCAUACUUAGACGACAUAGACGACCGUGACACUCAGACUGAUAAUAAUAUGGUCUUCUAACACCUGUCUACCAUUUAAGUAUUUACAUUGGCAUUAAGAGCUAAUGACCUCUCCUGAUGUCAUCAUGUCACCAAACAGCUGUGCAAUUAUGGCAGGCAGCAGUGGGUAUGGCUUCUGGAGUGGGUGUGUUCCUGAUGGGAUUGACAGCUGUCUGUCUCUGCAGGAGGACCAGUGAGUACUUCUGAUUCUGCAUAACAAAUAUUUUGAAAACGUUUUCCUUUGUCAUAUUAAUGUAAGUGCCAUUAACAUGGGUUAAUCUAUCAACUAAUUUUGGUAAUAUUUUAUAGGGUAGGCUAUAAUCAAUAUCAUUAUUUUAGCUUAAUUUGUUUUUCAGAGAAAACAUUCUCAGAGGUAAGAAUUCCCCUUGUGAAUAUUUUAUAAUGCUGAUUCUAUCUCAACCUUUAGUUCUGUAUUGUCCAUGAUGAGAUGUUCUUACCACAACCUUCUUAUACUUGUAUUUUGUAUAGACCUACAGCCAGACAGGAUGAUCACAGCCAAUGUAUGUUCCAAAAAUAUACAUCACUGCACACACUACUAACACAACUACACACAUGCAUGUACAAAUACAAAUUGUAAUGACAUUUUCAUUUAAUAUCUGUUCUAGAUGAUUUGGUGAUGGGAGCUGUGAGCAGUGCAGGCAUGUUGGAAUCAGGGGAUGCUGGGAUCUAUUCUCUCAUCACCUCUGUACCGUCCACGUUUUUGCCCUCAGGCCCUGUUGAAGAGAAUGAAAAGUAAUCUGCAAACCACAAUCCUGAUGCGUACCACAUAUACAGCUCAAUCCCCGACAGACCAGCAACUUCAGCCCAGCCGGAUGGGUUGUACAGUCUUCUGCAGGCACACUGAAACUACACCACUGGCUUUCUAUAGCUAUGUCUCACAGAAAUACUCUUCUCUGCAGGAUGUCCUUUAUUUAUCAUACAACAUGGUACUGUGAAUAAGUAUCUAAUACAUCUACUGUUGGGCCGUUUCUAGUCAUAAAAGACAUAAGCGGCCACCAUCACAUUGCAAAAUGUGUAGAACUGCUGGAAAUAAGCUUUAAAACUGAAUUUAUUUCUUUCAACCCCAUAGCAUAGUGUGUAGAAUUGCAGGAAAUUAGCUUUAUAACUGCAAUGUUCUCUCCGCCCCGUGAGAAAAUUAGUAGAAUUGCAGGACAUUAACUUCAAAGCUGCAAAUGUUUCCCUCCCUCGCCAUGAGGGGGACACUAAAAUGUUUUCCCCGCGAGGUGUGCAAAUCUCGUUUUGGGCCCCCAAAAUGCUAGAAACUGCCCUAAUCUACUGUAUCACACAUGGACACCUGGCUUCUGUUACAUGCCUUUCCAUAAUAUUGGUUACUGUGUUAGUAUUUUUAUUUGGGGGUGUUGGAGGGGUCCCACCCACUAAAUGCUAAAUAUAUACUGUAUUUAUAUCUAUUCUGUCAUCUGUGUGAUACCUACCUCCUUCCAUAACGGUUGGAUACAAUUUAUUAAGUAAAAUGCAUUUGAAAUCAAAAUAGAUCAAAAUCUAAAUAUAAUAUUUCAGUUUUAAAAAUGUUUACAUUCUUGGCAACAUCAGAUCAUCAAAACUGAUAAAAAAUAGAUUUCCUAAAUGCUAUUAAAAUCUCCCCAUUUCCCCAUGUUAUUUUCGAAGUUCCCAGUUUAACUUCAACUUUCUCAGCACUUCAGUCUCCCUUUCAAUGUGCAGUGUUGUAAACACAUUCUAGCUUUUAGUCUAACAACUACAGAGCAGUUAAGUUGUAAAUGGUGUGAGACCAUAAUUUUGAUGACAAUUUUUUUCUCUAGUUAAAAUUUGAGAUUAGCCUCGUUUGACUAUCCUGAUCUCCUGAAUCCCCUGUAGCUCAGUUGGUAGAGCAUGGCGCUUGCAACACAGGAUUGUGGGUUCGUUUCCCACGGGGGGC